rnacentral:tRNA from 1 species
GGUCUCUUAGUAUAUUUUAAUACGUUUGAUUUCCAAUCUUAAAAAUAUGAGAUUA